GAACGCACAUUGCGCCCGCCGGUAUUCCGGCGGGCAUGCCUGUUCGAGCGUCAUUUCACCACUCAAGCCCAGCUUGGUGUUGGGGCACCCGGCCGCCCAGCGGCCCCGGGGCCCCCAAGUCCAUCGGCGGGCUCGUCGGGACCCUGAGCGCAGUAACACGCGGUAAAACGCGCCCUCGCUCGGCGGAUCCAGUCGGGUUCCAGCCGCUAAACCCCCCUAAACUUCUUAGGUUGACCUCGGAUCAGGUAGGAAUACCCGCUGAACUUAAG
rnacentral:misc_RNA from 2 species